AAAACUUUCAACAACGGAUCUCUUGGUUCUGGCAUCGAUGAAGAACGCAGCGAAAUGCGAUAAGUAAUGUGAAUUGCAGAAUUCAGUGAAUCAUCGAAUCUUUGAACGCACAUUGCGCCCCUUGGUAUUCCGGGGGGCAUGCCUGUUCGAGCUCAUUG
rnacentral:rRNA from 1 species